rnacentral:snRNA from 1 species
GUUCGUUCCCGAACAUAUAUUGAAACUGAAACAAUACAGAAAAGAUUGGGAUAGUGCUUCGCAAUGAUGAACCCCAAUUAAAGAAGCAUUCCAGAGAUUU